GUGACGCACACCGGCUCACCAGUGGAGUCACUGGCCUUUUCUCGCCGUGUUCAUAUGUUUUCCUGCUCCGCGCUCCUCCCAACAUCCUUUCGUGGGUUGGUGGAGGUGAAUUGCCUGCACUCUUCGAUUGCGUGGAUGAGUGUGUGCCCACGGUGAACCGACACUCUGCAUCCUAUAACUUGCUCGGUGCCCCUGUACUUCCUAGGAGAGUCUUCAGAUUCACAGCAGCCCUGGAAGAUGUUGUGGAAGAAAGUAAGAAAUGAGAUUUUGAAGAUUCAGAACCUGCAGGCGAUGAGGUUACUGUGCACUAUCUUGCAGAAAUUUGCUCAAUAUAGUAGCCAGUGGGAGGUGGGUUAAACCAAACCGUGCAUAAAAUGAAGCACAGCCCCACCCACCACAGGUUCAGAAGACCGAUUUCACGGUCCUUAUAGGAAGUCCAAGGAAAAGUGUGUUAUUUUGCUACAGGUGUCAAGGUGUUUGGUGUACAUCUGUGUUUGGUCGCGCUGGGUGAGUCAUUGAUUACCAACCAAAAUAGGAUGCUUAAUUCUCCAAGUGCCCGUUCAGUUUCUGAAAUUCUUUUAUUGUGUGUCGAGACCCUUAAAGGGUCCAGAAUCGGAAUACAAUUGUUAGCUUUUUAUUUUAUAAGUCAAUAGCAAAGAUGAGAAAUGUGGAUUUCAUAACACUGGCUCAUCAGGUAGAAAACUGAACAAGCAAACAUUACAAUAAUUUGCAUUGCAGAAAAAAAUAGAUUUUCAGUCUAAGAUGAAAGGCAAUGAACUUAGUCCUUGUACUUUUUUCUCGGGCUCUUACAUUCAUACCUUUUGGUCCCUUAAAUCGGUCACAUGCCACUAAAAUUGGCAUUAAUUGGUCACAGGUGUUACAGCCUUUAAGGAUUGUGUGAGACUGGUAGCCAUCUGUCAUGCUAAUCCUGCUGAAACAGUAGCUUUCUUUAACUUACAUUCUGACUACACAGAGACGGCCACCGGCCCUUCUGCCUGUGGCUAUAGUGGCAAGACUUUACUUAAGAUGUGUUUAUAAACUCUUUGGGUCAUGAUCCAGAUCUUCAUUGGCAAAGGGAGUUUACUACUACUAUCCUGUCCAGGGAGUUCCCCUAUCUUGUGCCCUGUCCUCCCUGGGAUAGGCUCCAGGCACCUCAUUCGAACCCAUGCUGGAUAAGCUGCUGGAAGAUGGAUAAAUGGAUAUUAAUCAUUUGUUUUCAAAUUGGGUUGGCUUUAAAUAUUGACUCGGAAUUCCUUAAUUGUUUUUAAAAGCCCAGCACAGAACCAGCUGAAAUGCUUAAAUCCUUAGCAAUUGUGUAAUCAACACAAGCCGAACACCUACCUCCGAAAAGUCCAGCAUUGUACCGACCGGGCAGCCCAUUGUUCCAGCAUGUUCUCCAGCAGAUGGCUGAUAAAUAAACCAACAAGGGAAUCAAUAACGAAGACCUGCGGGCAGCCACUGUGAUCGGCAUCGCGGCGUCCUCUGCGGCUUCAGCUCGUGUUCAAAAAGAAACAAAACAAAAAUCAGAUAUGCUGACAUAAAAGUGCAUUUCAAAAUUCGGAGCCUGCUGUUUUUCAGUUAUUACGACUAACGUUAAAAUUGCAGUUGUUAGAUUUCUGCUGUUUUAUUGUUACAUGUUUGAAAAUUGAUAUGAUCUCAAACUCCAGGGAGAUAUAUAUGUAUUUCUUUUACUCUGGCUAUAACAAACGAGAAUUCUGAAUCGCAAUUUAAAUAAGUGAGGUCAACAUCACAGGAGGAACCUGGAGAUGCUAAAAACAGUUUCAUCGCAUCCUGUGCGUGUUGUUCAUUCAUGGAUAAAAUCAUAGCACUGUGUCUAAAUUGCACUUCACUUUAUUGCCACAUCAGAUUAUUUAAAGACUCAUUUAUGUUAUGUUCUCUGAAUGAGUAAAUUGGGUAAACCUACAAUUUAAGCAGCUUUGGAAAAUUGCAUAGGCAUUAAAAUGCAAUUAAAAAAGUGCAUUAAUACACAUGUGCUAGAUGCAGUUGUGCUUUUUUGGGUCCCUCCUACAGUGUUGUGUAUCUUAUUCUCAUUCAGAU